UCCAGGUCCAGCACAACCUUACUGCAUGCAUCAUGGUGAUGCCUGAACAAGCUUCAUAUUUUCUGAUUGUCCCUAGAUCUGUCAAGGGCCUGAACACUCAUCCAGAUCCACAUUCCUCCAAAUUAAUGGGAUCCUUGUGGCUGUCUCUAAUUUUGUUGUUCUAUUGAUUGUGGACUUGAAGAGAUGUUGCACAGCGUUAUAACUGCAUCUUCUGGCCCCACUGGAAGAUUCACACUGCAAUGGAAUGGAAACACGGCUUCUCUUCCAUGAUGUUUUUGUCUUCCAAAUAAAGAUGAACAAGAAUAUUAUGGAUGAAAAAGAGCCUUUGUUUCUCCCACAUGUCAGGGAAAUGGAGUCAUAGAGUGAGUCAAAUGUAUUGUUUGUUCUUGUACAUUUGAAAACAAAUACAACUUGUCAGUGUUUAAUAGUUAUCUAGAGAGCUUCAGAGACUGUACUAACUGCAGCCUGCCAUACUAACAAGGAAGGCUAGAAAAGCAGCUUCUGUUCUUGGAUCAGCCACGACCUUACCUUAGAACUUGGCUGAGUCACUUUCACUCCUAUUCCCUUUUUGUCUUUGUCUUCAUGGCCUUUCAGCUCCCUGGGAUGGAACCUGUGACUUUGUGUGUUUGCGGAGUGCAUCCUCUAUGGCACAUUAGUGCCAUGGAAAGACAAUGACUAAUAGCAAAAAUGAUCAAGUUAUUGGUGCAAGAAACCAGGGCAAAAUGAGAAACUAAACAGUCCUGCAGACUUGGAUUAUGUUAAGGGUCGGAUGUGCUUUUCUUUUGGAUAACAUUCUAUCUCUAUUCUAUUUUUUACAUCUGUAGCAUCAGCCACCUCGCAAUUCUUUAAGUGAUUUUAAGAAGUCAUUGCUGGAAGGUCCUCAGUGUUACAAACAUAAAUGGAAAGGCAUUUGUUGUGGAGCACUGUUCUGCACAGAGGUAUUGUCAUCAUCCUGCUGACUUAGUGGAAGGAAGAUGUACUGAGACAGCAGAGUUCCCUCCUGGAGUAGAUAGGACUGUUCCUAUAACAGGAAGGUUGAAUGACAAAGCUCAAGCAAGACUGACUGCGUCUCUGGGAAGAUAUGAGCUUUUUCUGGGCCCAUUCAACCUGCUUGCUUCUGGCAUUCUGCAACACCAUGUCCUUUCCAAAGCACGAUUGCAUCCAUUUGGUAUUUCAGAGUUCAUAUUCUGCAUUUUGAAUGUUGAGUGCUAA
rnacentral:lncRNA from 1 species